GUGCUUGCUUCUGCAGCAUAUAAACUAAAAUCGGAGCGAUGCAUAGGAGAUUAGUAUGGCCCCUGUGUAAAGAUGACAUGCAAAUUCAUGAAGUGUUCCAUAUUUUU